CCCUGUAUUGCUGAGAAAUGAGCUUCUUCCCAAAUUUGGAUGUCGUGUAGAAAGGCAGCCACCAGGGUAAGCAUGUGGAAAGUGGGAGCUGGGGCAGAAGCAGUCAGCAAAGCUCAGCAAACAGAACUUCAGCUGGCACCUGCACCUGGAGGCACUGUGGGCAGGAGGCACGGAGCUGCUACUUGCGUGUGUGCACUGGGAGCAGUAUGGGACUGUGCUGGUAGAAGAUACACAGACAUGCUGAGCAGAGAGAAUGCUGCCGGGCGCACAGCUUUCAGAGAAUCAUUAUGA
rnacentral:lncRNA from 1 species